rnacentral:rRNA from 1 species
AUUGCCUCAGUAACGGCGAGUGAAGCGGCAACAGCUCAAAUUUGAAAUCUGGCCCUAGGCCCGAGUUGUAAUUUGCAGAGGAUGCUUUUGGUGAGGUGCCUUCCGAGUUCCCUGGAACGGGACGCCAUAGAGGGUGAGAGCCCCGUCUGGUUGGAUACCGAGCCUCUGUAAAGCUCCUUCGACGAGUCGAGUAGUUUGGGAAUGCUGCUCAAAAUGGGAGGUACAUGUCUUCUAAAGCUAAAUACCGGCCAGAGACCGAUAGCGCACAAGUAGAGUGAUCGAAAGAUGAAAAGCACUUUGAAAAGAGAGUUAAACAGCACGUGAAAUUGUUAAAAGGGAAGCGUUUAUGACCAGACUUGGGCCGGUUGAUCAUCCAGUGUUCUCACUGGUGCACUCUGCCGGUCUAGGCCAGCAUCAGUUCGUUGCGGGGGAUAAAGGCGUCGGGAAUGUGGCUCCUCGGAGUGUUAUAGCCCUUCGUGUAAUACCCUGUGGUGGACUGAGGUUCGCGCUCUGCAAGGAUGCUGGCGUAAUGGUCAUCAACGACCCGUCUUGAAACACGGACCAAGGAGUCGUCUUCGUAUGCGAGUGUUCGGGUGUCAAACCCCUACGCGUAAUGAAAGUGAACGCAGGUGAGAGCUUCGGCGCAUCAUCGACCGAUCCUGAUGUUCUCGGAUGGAUUUGAGUAAGAGCAUACGGGGCCGGACCCGAAAGAAGGUGAACUAUGCCUGUAUAGGGUGAAGCCAGAGGAAACUCUGGUGGAGGCUCGCAGCGGUUCUGACGUGCAAAUCGAUCGUC